rnacentral:rRNA from 1 species
GAUGAACGCUGGCGGCGUGCUUAACACAUGCCAGUCGAACGGAAAGGCCCAAGAUUGCUUGGGUACUCGAGUGGCGAACGGGGGAGUAACACGUGGGUGAUGUGCUCUGCACUUCGGGAUAAGCCUGGGAAACUGGGUCUAAUACCGGAUAGGACGAUGGCUUGGGUGGCAUUGUGGGAAGUUUUUUCGGUGUGGGAUGUGGUCGCGGCGUAUCAGCAUGUUGGUGGGGACGUGGCCUAGCACGGCGUCGACGGGGAGCCGGCCGAGGAGAGUGUGCGGCCACACUAGAACUGUGAGACGGGCCGGACUCCGACGGGAGGCAGCAGGGGGGAAUAUUUCACAAUGGGCGCAAGCCUGAUGCAGCGACGCCGCGUGGGUGAUGACGGCCUUCGUGUUGUAAGCACCUCUCGCUAGGGACGAAGCGUUUUUGUGACGGUACCUGGAGAAGAAGCACCGGCUAACUACGUG